GAGAUCGGGAUAACACCUGGAAACAGAUGCUAAUACCGGAUAACAACAGAUGAUGCCUAUCAACUGUUUAAAAGAUGGUUCUGCUAUCACUCUUGGAUGGACCUGCGGUGCAUUAGCUAGUUGGUAGGGUAACGGCCUACCAAGGCGAUGAUGCAUAGCCGAGUUGAGAGACUGAUCGGCCACAUUAGGACUGAGACACGGCCCAAACUCCUACGGGAGGCAGCAGAC
rnacentral:rRNA from 1 species